AGCAUAUCAUAGCGGAGGAAAAGAAACCAACAGGGAUUGCCCCAGUAACGGCGAGUGAAGCGGCAAGAGCUCAAAUUUGAAAUCUGGCCUCCCCCGGGGGCCCGAGUUGUAAUUUGCAGAGGAUGCUUCGGGUGCGGCCGCCGUCUAAGUUCCUUGGAACAGGACGUCAGAGAGGGUGAGAAUCCCGUCUUGGGCGGGCGGUCCGCGCCCGUGUGAAGCUCCUUCGACGAGUCGAGUUGUUUGGGAAUGCAGCUCUAAGCGGGUGGUAAAUUUCAUCUAAAGCUAAAUAUUGGCCGGAGACCGAUAGCGCACAAGUAGAGUGAUCGAAAGGUUAAAAGCACCUUGAAAAGGGAGUUAAACAGCACGUGAAAUUGUUGAAAGGGAAGCGCUUGCGGCCAGACUCGGGGGCGGGGUUCAGCGGGUGCUCGUCGCCCGUGUAUUCCUCGUUUCCCGGGCCAGCAUCAGUUUCGACGGCCGGUCAAAGGCCCCCGGAAUGUGUCGUCUCUCGGGACGUCUUAUAGCCGGGGGUGCAAUGCGGCCCGUCGGGACUGAGGAACGCGCUCCGGCUCGGAUGCUGGCGUAAUGGCCGUAAGCGGCCCGUCUUGAAACACGGACCAAGGAGUCUAACAUCCACGCGAGUGUUCGGGUGUCAAACCCGUGCGCGCAGUGAAAGCGAACGGAGGUGGGAGCCUUAGGGCGCACCAUCGACCGAUCCUGAAGUCUUCGGAUGGAUUUGAGUAGGAGCGUGGCCGUUGGGACCCGAAAGAUGGUGAACUAUGCCUGAAUAGGGUGAAGCCAGAGGAAACUCUGGUGGAGGCUCGCAGCGGUUCUGACGUGCAAAUCGAUCGUCAAAUUUGGGCAUAGGGGGCGAAAGACUAAUCGAACCAUCUAGUAGCUGGUUCUGCGA
rnacentral:rRNA from 1 species